CUGUGACCUUGACCUUUGACCUAGUGACCUGAAAAUCAAUAGGGGUCAUCUGCGAGUCACGAUCAAUGUACCUAUGAAGUGUCAUGAUCUUAGGCAAAAGCGUUCUUGAGUUAUCAUCCGAAAAUCAUUUUACUAUUUCGGGUCACCGUGACCUUGACCUUUGACCUUGUGACCUCAAAAUCAAUAGGGGUCAUCUGCAAGUCAUGAUCAAUCUACCUAUGAAGUUUCAUGAUCCUAGGCGUAUGCGUUCUCGAGUUAUCAUCCGAAAACCAUUUUACUAUUUCGGGUCACCGUGACCUUGACCUUUGACCUAGUGACCUCAAAAUCAAUAGGGGUCAUCUGCGAGUUAUGAUCAAUCUACCCAUGAAGUUUCAUGAUCCUAGGCGUAUGCAUUCUUGAGUUAUCAUCCGGAAACCAUUUUACUAUUUCGGGUCACCGUGACCUUGACCUUUGACCUAGUGACCUCAAAAUCAAUAGGGGUCAUCUGCAAGUCAUGAUCAAUCUACCCAUGAAGUUUCAUGAUCCUAGGCGUAUGCGUUCUUGAGUUAUCAUUCAAAAACCAUUUUACUAUUUCGGGUCACCAUGACCUUGACCUUUGACCUAGUGACCUCAAAAUCAAUAGGGGUCAUCUGCGAGUCAUGAUCAAUGUACCUAUGAAGUUUCAUGAUCCUAGGCCCAAGCGUUCUUGAGUUAUCGUCUGACAACCACCUGGUGGACGGACCGACAGACCGACCGACAGACCGACAUGAGCAAAGCAAUAUACCCCCUCUUCUUCGAAGGGGGGCAUAAA